rnacentral:rRNA from 1 species
UACGUAGGGGGCAAGCGUUGUCCGGAAUUACUGGGCGUAAAGCGUGCGCAGGCGGUUUUGUAAGUCUGUUGUGAAAGCCCCGGGCUCAACCUGGGAAUUGCAUUUGAGACUGCGUAGCUAGGGUGCGGAAGAGGGAAGCGGAAUUUCCGGUGUAGCGGUGAAAUGCGUAGAUAUCGGAAGGAACACCAGUGGCGAAAGCGGCUUCCUGGUCCAGCACCGACGUUCAGGCACGAAAGCGUGGGGGGCAAACAGG